AUCCUUGGAACUCCAAGUGGGACUUCUUAAAAGAUUUAUAAGGAACAAAGAUGUCAGGAAAGCAGAAAUACACACGGACUCCAUGACUAGAAAAACCUCGUGGUGGCCUGCUCUCCGGUGCUUGGAAGUGUGCUAGUUACAUCUUGGAGGCCUGAUUUUCUUAACUCCACCCUGCUGAGAAGAUGCCCUCCAGGAGGCUGUGCUUGCAGACUCCACGGAGCCUCUCUCAAGAUUUCCUGAACCUUGUGGAUUUACAGUAAGACGAAGUUCCCUGGGGAGUAAUUCUGGUGGAUGCAAAUUCUGGAGUAAUACACCUGGCCUGCCUAGAGAUGUUACAAGUGGCCUAAUGGAUUUUUCUAGCCUGGACGCCCACUGGGGACAAGGAUCAUUACUGACAGGAUUGUAUCUCUACCCUUGACUCCAUGGGAAUAUUUGGUCUGCUCUCUCGGGCUCCCUCUAAAAUGGUUGACAGAGCUGAGGCUCACAACAGGCUGAACAUGUGCCUGAUGCUUUGCACAGGGUCAGGACCAGCUUCUGGGGAGGGUGAGCAUUGGUUGGCCCUGAGAAGAUUCUAAGGAGCCAGCAUAUCCUUUAAGCAUUCCAGAA
rnacentral:lncRNA from 1 species